UGGAGCUGGCAGAGCUCUGAGGCCCAUGUCACCAGAUGUUCCAGCUGUACUGGAAGGGUCUGGAGAGGCAGAAAAUGAAGUGCGUCACUCAAGGUCAAGUGCAUCACUCAAUUCAAACAGGUGGUUAGAGUCACUCAACAAGUAUCCUUUGAAAUGGGCUAACCACACUCCAGUCCUGACAUAAAGUCCUGCCAAAGUGUUUCACAAUUAUCCUUUUGGA
rnacentral:lncRNA from 1 species